rnacentral:rRNA from 1 species
CCUGGUUGAUCUUGCCAGUAGUCAUAUGCUUGUCUCACAGAUUAAGCCAUGCAAGUGAAAGUACAUAUGUAAGUAAUAUAUUGAAACUGCGAACGGCUCAUUAAAACAGUUAUAAUCUACUUGAUGUUUUUAAUAUAAGGAUAACUACGGAAAAUCUGUAGCUAAUACUUGUGAAAAUACCUUUUGAUAUAUACAUAUGUAUGUAUCAUUAAGGUAUGUAUUUGUUAGAUAUAAGAAUAAAAUAAAUAUAAUUGAAUUAUAACAAAGAAGAAACACAUAAAAUAUGUGUAUUAUCAAUCGAGUAUCUGACCUAUCAGCUUUUGAUGUUAGGGUAUUGACCUAACAUGGCUAUGACGGGUAACGGGGAAUUAGAGUUCGAUUCCGGAGAGGGAGCCUGAGAAAUAGCUACCACAUCUAAGGAAGGCAGCAGGCGCGUAAAUUACCCAAUUCUAAAAAAGAGAGGUAGUGACAAGAAAUAACAAUACAAUAUCGAAAAAUGAUUUUGUAAUUGGAAUGAUAGGAAUUUACAAGGUUCCUAGAGAAACAAUUGGAGGGCAAGUCUGGUGCCAGCAGCCGCGGUAAUUCCAGCUCCAAUAGCAUAUAUUAAAAUUGUUGCAGUUAAAACGUUCGUAGUUGAAUAUUAAAGAAUCCGAUGUUUCAUUUAAACUGGUUUGGGAAAACCAAAUAUAUUAUAUAUUUUGCUUUGUUCAAAAUAAGGUUUUCUAAUAAAUUAUGUUUUUAUCAGAUAUGACAGAAUCUUUUUUAAAAUCUCUUCAAUAUGCUUUUAUUGCUUUUGAGAGGUUUUGUUACUUUGAGUAAAAUUAAGUGUUCAUAACAGACGGGUAGUCAUGAUUGAGUUCAUUGUGUUUGAAUACUACAGCAUGGAAUAACAAAUAUGAAUAAGCUAAUUAUUUUUUUUUUCAUAAUUUUUUUUGAUAUUCUUAUUAGCUUAGUUACGAUUAAUAGGAGUAUCUUUGGGGGCAUUCGUAUUCAGAUGUCAGAGGUGAAAUUCUAAGAUUUUCUGGAGACGGACUACUGCGAAAGCAUUUGCCUAAUCUAUUUCCAUUAAUCAAGAACGAAAGUUAAGGGAGUGAAGACGAUCAGAUACCGUCGUAAUCUUAACCAUAAACUAUACCGACUAGGUGUUGGAUGAAUAUAAAAAAUAUAUAAAUAUGUAGCAUUUCUUAGGGAAUGUUGAUUUUAUAUUAGAAUUGCUUCCUUCAGUACCUUAUGAGAAAUCAAAGUCUUUGGGUUCUGGGGCGAGUAUUCGCGCAAGCGAGAAAGUUAAAAGAAUUGACGGAAGGGCACCACCAGGCGUGGAGCUUGCGGCUUAAUUUGACUCAACACGGGAAAACUCACUAGUUUAAGACAAGAGUAGGAUUGACAGAUUAAUAGCUCUUUCUUGAUUUCUUGGAUGGUGAUGCAUGGCCGUUUUUAGUUCGUGAAUAUGAUUUGUCUGGUUAAUUCCGAUAACGAACGAGAUCUUAACCUGCUAAUUAGCGGUAAGUACACUAUAUUUUUAUUUGAAAUUGAAUAUAGGUAAUUAUACAUGUUUAUUCAGUGUUCAAAUUAGGA